CAGCCGCCGCGGUAAAACCAGCACCUCAAGUGGUCAGGAUGAUUAUUGGGCCUAAAGCAUCCGUAGCCGGCUCCGUAAGUUUUCGGUUAAAUCUGUACGCUUAACGUACAGGCUGCCGGGAAUACUGCAAAGCUAGGGAGUGGGAGAAGUAGACGGUACUCGGUAGGAAGUGGUAAAAUGCUUUGAUCUAUCGAUGAUCACCUGUGGCGAAGGCGGUCUACUAGAACACGUCCGACGGUGAGGGAUGAAAGCUGGGGGAGCAAACCGGAUUAGAUACCCGGGUAGUCCCAGCUGUAAACUAUGCAAACUCAGUGAUGCAUUGGCUUGUGGCCAAUGCAGUGCUGCAGGGAAGCCGUUAAGUUUGCCGCCUGGGAAGUACGUACGCAAGUAUGAAACUUAAAGGAAUUGGCGGGGGAGCAC
rnacentral:rRNA from 2 species